UACGUAGGGUGCGAGCGUUGUCCGGAAUUAUUGGGCGUAAAGAGCUCGUAGGCGGUUUGUUGCGUCGGCCGUGAAAACUCAGGGCUUAACUCUGAGCCUGCGGUCGAUACGGGCAGACUUGAGUUCGGUAGGGGAGACUGGAAUUCCUGGUGUAGCGGUGAAAUGCGCAGAUAUCAGGAGGAACACCGGUGGCGAAGGCGGGUCUCUGGGCCGAUACUGACGCUGAGGAGCGAAAGCCAGGGGAGCAAACGGG
rnacentral:rRNA from 1 species